UACGUAGGGGGCGAGCGUUGUCCGAAUUUACUGGGCGUAAAGCGCGUGUAGGCGGUUUCCUAAGUCAGAUGUGAAAUCCUGGGGCUCAACCCCAGAACUGCACCUGAAACUGGGAGGCUUGAGUUUGGGAGAGGAGAGUGGAAUUCCUGGUGUAGCGGUGAAAUGCGUAGAUAUCAGGAGGAACACCCGUGGCGAAGGCGGCUCUCUGGCCCAACACUGACGCUGAGACGCGAAAGCUAGGGGAGCGAACGGG
rnacentral:rRNA from 1 species